GCGGUCUUGGCCGAGUGGUCAGGCACCGGGUUUCCACCCCGUUGACGUCAGUUCGAAUCUGACAGGCCGCUCCA
rnacentral:tRNA from 1 species